GGGGAUAUAGUAAAGUGGCAUUACACCUCAUUCGCAUUGAGGAGGCUCGGGUUCGAUUCCCGAUAUCUCCACCA
rnacentral:tRNA from 1 species